CAACUGGACAAGAGAAGUAGAAAUUCGCCUGCCCAUUGACGUUGCAGCUAUAAACACAGAAGAGUAGUGUAUAAAAGCAGCAACAAGAGUGAGAGCAUCUUAAUAAUGCCUCGCAGAAGUUUAUGGGGCUGCCCUCUUUGAGACACAUGAUAAACACUUCCAAGGCCUCGCUUCUGUUAUUUGUUGCUGUCAGCAGCCUUCUGAGAUGGCACACCAUGAUACCUGCUCCCUCAUCUUCACGCCUUGCUUAAUCACAUCCUGUUGAGAGUGGGCUGGAAAGAGCAAGUGGCUUCUGAGGAAUGGAGCACUGCCAAGUGUUGGGAUGACGCUACUGAGACUAAGCCACAAAGACUCUAACUUUAUGGUCUUCUUUCUCUUUCUGGGCCUCCUCACCUGUUUUCAUGAAGGAAGUUGUGAGCUGCCCCAUGGAGAGGCCUAUAUGACAGAGAACUGGUCAACAGCCAACAAAGAAUGGAGGGCCUCCGUGCAGCAGCCCAUGAGGAUCUGAAUCCCACCAAUCACCUUGCAAGGGAGCUUGGAAAAGGAUCCACCUAGGCUUGACACGACUGAUGUCCCGGCUGACUACAGGCUCAUAAGAGGGCUCAGCUAAGCAAUGCCAAAAUUCCUCACCCACAGAAACUGUGAGCCUUGUGAAGAAGGUGCCUUGCUUCCCUUUCACCUUCCACCAUGAUUGUAAGUUUCCUGAGGCCUCCCCAGCCAUGUGAAACUGUGAGUCAAUUAAACCUCUUUCCUUUAUAAAUUACCCAGUCUUGGCAGUUCUUUAUAGCAGUAUGAAAAUGGACUAAUACAUCACCCUUCUUCUUGUGAUGGUGUGAGAUGAUAAUAUGCCUGCCUCAUGAGAUGAAACGAGGUGAAUGACAUAGGCAUUGUGGCACA
rnacentral:lncRNA from 10 species